rnacentral:rRNA from 1 species
AGAACGAACGCUGGCGGCAUGCCUAACACAUGCAAGUCGAACGAGACCUUCGGGUCUAGUGGCGCACGGGUGCGUAACGCGUGGGAAUCUGCCCUUCGGUUCGGAAUAACUCAGGGAAACUUGAGCUAAUACCGGAUAAUGACGUAAGUCCAAAGAUUUAUCGCCGAAGGAUGAGCCCGCGUAAGAUUAGCUUGUUGGUGAGGUAAAGGCUCACCAAGGCUACGAUCUUUAGCUGGUCUGAGAGGAUGAUCAGCCACACGUGGGACUGAGACACGGCCCAGACUCCGUACGGGAGGCAGCGAGG